rnacentral:rRNA from 1 species
AGAGUUUGAUCAUGGCUCAGAGCGAACGCUGGCGGCAGGCUUAACACAUGCAAGUCGAGCGGGCGUAGCAAUACGUCAGCGGCAGACGGGUGAGUAACGCGUGGGAACGUACCUUUUGGUUCGGAACAACACAGGGAAACUUGUGCUAAUACCGGAUAAGCCCUUACGGGGAAAGAUUUAUCGCCGAAAGAUCGGCCCGCGUCUGAUUAGCUAGUUGGUGAGGUAACGGCUCACCAAGGCGACGAUCAGUAGCUGGUCUGAGAGGAUGAUCAGCCACAUUGGGACUGAGACACGGCCCAAACUCCUACGGGAGGCAGCAGUGGGGAAUAUUGGACAAUGGGCGCAAGCCUGAUCCAGCCAUGCCGCGUGAGUGAUGAAGGCCCUAGGGUUGUAAAGCUCUUUUGUGCGGGAAGAUAAUGACGGUACCGCAAGAAUAAGCCCCGGUUAACUUCGUGCCAGCAGCCGCGGUAAUACGAAGGGGGCUAGCGUUGCUCGGAAUCACUGGGCGUAAAGGGUGCGUAGGCGGGUCUUUAAGUCAGGGGGUGAAAUCCUGGAGCUCAACUCCAGAACUGCCUUUGAUACUGAGGAUCUUGAGUUCGGGAGAGGUGAGUGGAACUGCGAGUGUAGAGGUGAAAUUCGUAGAUAUUCGCAAGAACACCAGUGGCGAAGGCGGCUCACUGGCCCGAUACUGACGCUGAGGCACGAAAGCGUGGGGAGCAAACAGGAUUAGAUACCCUAGUAGUCC